GGUAAGAUAAUGGUGGAUAGGGUAGUGUGACACACACAAGAAUCAUCUCAAGAUAACUAAGCUAGGGAGAAGGACUAAGAGUUAGCUCAAGGUUCAAUGUACUUCCUAUAUACUACACAGAUCAUACAAGCAUAACGUACAUACACAUUGUAUAGGACUUAGUUCUAUGCACCCAGGCACUACGGGGAGAUAGUACCCUACCGGUCUGCCGGCGCAGUUACUGCUAAUUUUUUAACUCCUACAGCGUACACAAACAUGGGGGAUUACAAAAGACGGACAUGGUUGUCACCACCUGCCACCUACCCCUAGCAACCCGUGAGGCAAACUCAUAUCCAAUGAAGCUAAGCAAUCCAAGAACCAUGCUUGCAU
rnacentral:lncRNA from 1 species